rnacentral:rRNA from 1 species
UACGGGGGGGGCAAGCGUUGUUCGGAAUUACUGGGCGUAAAGGGCUCGUAGGUGGCCAACUAAGUCAUGCGUGAAAUCCCUCGGCUUAACCGGGGAACUGCGUCUGAUACUGGAUGGCUUGAGUUUGGGAGAGGGAUGCGGAAUUCCAGGUGUAGCGGUGAAAUGCGUAGAGAUCCGGAGGAGCCCCAGAGGCGAAGGCGGCGCCCUGGCCCGCAACUGACGCUCAGACACGACAGCAUGGGGAGCGAACGGG